rnacentral:rRNA from 1 species
AGUGAACGCUGGCGGUAUGCCUAACACAUGCAAGUCGAACGGCAGCACAGUAAGAGCUUGCUCUUACGGGUGGCGAGUGGCGGACGGGUGAGGAAUACAUCGGAAUCUACUUUUUCGUGGGGGAUAACGUAGGGAAACUUACGCUAAUACCGCAUACGACCUACGGGUGAAAUCAGGGGAUCUGCGGACCUUGCGCUAUGGAAUGAGCCGAUGUCGGAUUAGCUAGUUGGCGGGGUAAAGGCCCACCAAGGCGACGAUCCGUAGCUGGUCUGAGAGGAUGAUCAGCCACACUGGAACUGCGACACGGUCCAGACUCCUACGGGAGGCAGCAGUGGGGAAUAUUGGACAAUGGGCGCAAGCCUGAUCCAGCCAUACCGCGUGGGUGAAGAAGGCCUUCGGGUUGUAAAGCCCUUUUGUUGGGAAAGAAAAGCAGCAGGUUAAUACGCCGCUGUUCUGACGGUACCCAAAGAAUAAGCACCGGCUAACUUCGUG